UAUUAGUGGAUAACUAGAGUAUAUUGGAUUUUGAUAAUUUAUUGAGGUUUUUAUAAGCUGUGAAUGAAUAAGAUCUGUAACAUUGUAAUAAUUAGGAUGUUACUGAAUAUAAUUUGAGAUUUUUAUAAGCUGGGAAUGAAUAAGAUCUAUAACAUUGUAAUAAUUAGGAUUUUACUAUUGAAUUUAAAACAUGACAUAUUUAAGUGAAAUGCCAUUUUUUUCUUCGUUAGUGGUGUUUUUGGUUUACAUGGAUUUGUACAUUGUAUACAGUUGGAGUCUUUAUGGCCAUUUUUGUAAAUUAAAUUAAAUGUAAAAGAGAAUUUAAGAGAAAAUGACUAUAUAGGUUGAAAAGGUUGACUAAAAGUGUAAAUUAAAUUAAAUGUAAAACAUAAUUUAAGAGAAAAUGACUAUAUAGGUUGAAAAGGUUGACUAAAAGCUAUGAAGGCUGUUUACAAGAAUCAUCAGAUUCUGCUGAUGCAGAACACGGUGGAUGCAACAAUGAAGUGUAUUCUCAAUCAAAUGCAGCAAAAGCUUCCGGUAUUUGAGAAAUUCAAACAAUUGAGCAACAAAGUGAUGGAACAUGGUGAAUUCAGGAAAAACCAUUGUUUUCAUCAUUCAUUAACCAAGCAUCCUAAUUUUUAUGCAACUGCAGGAGUCUGAAUCUUCUUCGAACACAAGAGAUA